GCUCGCCCCCUCCCUCUGAGCAGCAGGAGCUACGUCAUGACGGAUGCUGUAAGUCGGGCCAGGCUAAAGCAGCUCCGCGGGCCUCGUAGUCAAGUCCCCAAACUCCCGAAGGCGGCCCACGCUUGUCUGCAGUGCCCGACUUCCUACAAGGACUGCGACGCUCUAAUCAUGCAUCGCCUCAGGCACAUCGAGGGGAAGCACUGGCCGUGUCUGCUCUGCAGUAAGACGUUCUUUCGACUGAGAAAUGUAAGAAACCACAUCCGCACCCACGACCCCAAGUUGUACAAAUGCCGGAGCUGCAUCGUCUCCGGCUCCUGAGGCAGGCGGGCGGUCCGCUCCAUCGGAGAGACUAAAAGAUGAAGGCUGUCAGUGUCUGACUGCAGCGAGCAGGCUGAUCGAUCAGCAGCUUGUACAUAAUGCAUCACACACACAAGCACAAGGGGUCUGUGGAAAAGGAAGAAUGACUCAGAGUCUAAUCAUUGGAGCUGUCAGUUAUUACUAAUGGUAUUUAAAUAACCCGACUAAGGUUGCCGGUUAGCAUCCACACAGAAGGUUAAACUUGAACAUUACACUCAGGGGGUGGGGGAUUGUGACGCCACGGUAUUUAACAUCACGGUUGUGUAUAAAAUGAAAUUGUAAAGUGAUUUGUUAAAACUAUUACCGCCGCUACUUUAAUGUUAUUUUUCUAUGUAUAGAUGAACUUUGAGUGCACUUAUAUCAUAGCUUAUGUGGUAAAAACCUAAGAAGUGGUGUUGAAGUUUUGAAGUCUACGGCGGGAAUACUUGAAGUGAUGGAAGUGCUGGAGGGAUUACUUGAAGUCGGGGGGGGGGGGGGGGGUCUGAGGAGUGAGACGGUCCUAUUGGGUGUUAAAAGUGGAUUUUUGUCUUUUAUGGUGUGCUAAUGUUUUUAAUCACCCGACUAGUUUCCCUCCUUUCUGCUAGUCUCUCAAAGCUCGAGAAGCGGAUCUUUGACUCUGGUCUGGUGACAUCACUGCAUGUGUAUCUGCAGCCUGUUGUAGUCCACUGUCUUUUCCUCAGUCUGCCUAUUUGAAAAAGGGAAAACCUGUCUCGUUUUUAAUGUGAAUUUCUGAGCAGUUACCCCACACCGAUGUGUCAUUACAACUUUGAAUUGAUCUCCCCUUCAAUCCAAGCCAUGGAUUUCAAAUUCCCCUCCUGCUGAUUAAAUGCAAUGUGUUCACAUGAAGAGAUGUUUAUGUUUCACUCGUUGAUUUUACAAAUAAACAAGCUGUCUCUUGCUAUCUGUAAAAAGGCUGAA